rnacentral:rRNA from 1 species
UUCCUUUGGUGUUAUAUAAAAGGUAAAGCCUGCCCACUGAAAUAUUGAAGGGCCGCGGUAUUUUGACCGUGCAAAGGUAGCAUAAUCAUUAGUCUCUUAAUUAGAGGAUAGAAUGAAUGGUUUAACCGAGAUGAGUUAUAUCAUACUCAAUGAGUUGAAUUUAGAAUGUAAGUGAAAAUACUUAUUUGUUUCUAUAAGACGAUAAGACCCUAUAGAUCUUUAUUUAAUAUUUUUGGUUUCAAUUUGGGGGAAUUGAGGGCAGAAAUAUUAAGUUUAGCUGGGGCAGUUAAAGAAUAGAAGCAACUUCUUUAUUGUAAGGUUGAUAAAAUGUUUAAUCUUAAUUUGUAAAUAUUAAAAAGUUACCUUAGGGAUAACAGCGUAAUCAGCUUAGAGAGCCCAUAUCGAUAAGUUGGGUUGCGACCUCGAUGUUGAAUUAAGAAGUCUAAUUAGGGCAGCUUUUAAUUUAGAUGGUUUGUUCAACCAUUAAAUUCUUACA